rnacentral:misc_RNA from 1 species
AAGUCGUAACAAGGUUUCCGUAGGUGAACCUGCGGAAGGAUCAUUAGUGAAUUUGUUUUGUGGUUGGGUAUCUUGCUAAAUUUUUACAAGAUAUCCACCCAAACACCCCCACUAUUAUCACGCCGGCUGGGAGGGAGGAAUCUCUUUUGGUCGAGAGCCUAGUAAGCUCGGAAAUUUUGAAGGUUUUAGGGAACUCUGUUCUUUAACCUUUUUUUUUUUAGAACCAUAUAGUCAUGUAUGUUAAGUAGUAUUCUUAAAACAAAUACAACUUUCAGCAACGGAUCUCUUGGCUCUC